rnacentral:misc_RNA from 1 species
GAAAUGCGAUAAGUAAUGCGAAUUGCAGAAUCAGUGAAUCAUCGAAUUUUUGAACGCACAUUGCGCCUUCUGGUAUUCCAGGAGGCACGCCUGUUCGAGCGCCAUUUCAACCUCCAAGCCUGGCUUGAUGCUAGACGACGUCUUGCCGACGAGUCUGAAACGCGUUGGCGUCCAGCAGCGACCACGAGCGUAGCAUAUGAUGUCGUUCCGUGAGUUGCUCCUGGCCUGCCUUUUUGACUUAACAUGUGGUUGGCCUCGGAUCAGGUGGGGAUACCCGCUGAACUUAAGC